ACCUCAUCCAUGGCUGCGAAAAUCAUAUCAGUCAUUCAUGUUUUAGAAAGAUAUCCACACCACAUUAAGAGUCCGCACCCUAAGUUCAACACGAGAUGAAUCCAAAAAGGUGCAAAGACGAACACGAAUCUACAUCCUAAAUCCGGAAUAAAACGUGAGCUCAAUCUUCGAAUCUGAGUUAGUCAAUCAUCACCUUCACGCAUGAAUUCGCGCAAGCCUCAAAAACAGUCCAAAUCGAUUUUGGCACGGCGACACAGUGAAGAAUAAUUGACUUGCAAUAAAGUUAAAGCGUACCAGAUGGCAUCCCGACACGGAGGCUCCUUGGCGACACUCAAGGGAACAUGUUUGUUUAUGCUGGGAACAUGUUGGUUUAUGCUGGGAACAUGUUGGUUUAUGCUGGACUGCGAAUGUUGCAGGGUGUGUUAGGUUUGCUUUGUUCAUAUUGCUGCAGAUUCUUGGACUGCUAUAGCUCCCUUAUGGGUCACUUGCAGGUGGUUCUGACUUGGUUUAUGGCAUGGUGGUUCAUCAUGAAAUUGUUCAUUAUUGUAGGUCAUGUGCAUAUGGGAUGAACAAUGGUGAGUGGUCAAAAGUUAUAUGACAUCAAGAAUGGCUUUUUGGGAGCAACUUGUACAAGUGGCACUUCAAGAAUAAGGAUCCAAGAUUGAAGAUUAGGAAAGGGAUUAGGUAUGUAGGGUGAAAAAGGUUGGGUUGACUUUGGUCAAAGUUGACCAAAAAGUCAACCAUUGACCAAAGUCAACUAUUGGUCAACUCACACUUUUUUGUAUUUUUUUCAUGUAAGGAAUACUUAUGAUUAUGUAAUGAGUGUCAUUUCCUUAUACAUUUGAAUUGAUCUUGAUUCUUGAAGUGAAUGAAUUUGAGGCUUGUACAUGAA